rnacentral:rRNA from 1 species
AGCGGCAGACGGGAGAGUAACACGUGGGAACAUGCCCUUCGGUUCGGAAUAACUCAGGGAAACUUGAGCUAAUACCGGAUACGUCCGUAAGGAGAAAGAUUUAUCGCCGAAGGAUUGGCCCGCGUCCGAUUAGCUAGUUGGUGAGGUAACGGCUCACCAAGGCGACGAUCGGUAGCUGGUCUGAGAGGAUGAUCAGCCUCACUGGGACUGAGACACGGCCCAGACUCCUACGGGAGGCAGCAGUGGGGAAUAUUGGACAAUGGGCGCAAGCCUGAUCCAGCCAUGCCGCGUGGGUGAUGAAGGCCCUAGGGUUGUAAAGCCCUUUCGGCGGGGAAGAUAAUGACGGUACCCGCAGAAGAAGCCCCGGCUAGCUUCGUGCCAGCAGCCGCGGUAAUACGAAGGGGGCUAGCGUUGCUCGGAAUCACUGGGCGUAAAGCGCACGUAGGCGGAUUGUUAAGUCAGGGGUGAAAUCCUAGAGCUCAACUCCAGAACUGCCUUUGA